AUGGAAGAUUCGAUGGACAUGGACAUGAGCCCCCUGAGGCCCCAGAACUAUCUUUUCAGUUGUGAACUAAAGGCCGACAAAUAUUAUCACUUUAAGGUGGAUAAUGAUGAAAAUGAGCACCAGUUAUCUUUAAGAAUGGUCAGUUUAGGGGAUGGUGCAAAGGAUGAAUUGCACAUUGUUGAAGCAGAGGCAAUGAAUUAUGAAGGCAGCCCAAUAAAAGUAACACUGGCAACUUUGAAAAUGUCUGUGCAGUCAAUGACUUUCCCUGGAGGCUUUGAAAUAACACCACCUGUGGUCUUAUGGUGGAAGUGUGGUUCAGGGCCUGUGCAUAUUAGUGGAUAGCACUUAGUAGCUGUGGACGAAGAUGCAGAGUCAGAAGAUGAAGAGGAUGAGGAUGUAAAAUUCUUAAGUAUAUCUGGAAAGAGAUCUGCUCCUGGAGGUGGUAGCAAGUUUCCUCAGAAAAAAGUAAAGCUUGCUGCUGAUGUAGAAGAUGAUGAUGAUGAUGAAGAUGAUGAUGAUGAUGAUUUUGAUGAUGAGGAAACUGAAGAAAAAGCUCCAGUGAAGAAAUCUGUAUGAGAUACUCCAGCC